rnacentral:tRNA from 1 species
GCCUCGGUAGCUCAAAGGCAGAGCGUCUGCCUCGUAAGCAGAAGGUUGAGGGUUCGAAUCCCUCCCGGGGCU